rnacentral:rRNA from 1 species
GACGAACGCUGGCGGCGUGCCUAAUACAUGCAAGUUGAGCGCUGAAGGUUGGUACUUGUACCAACUGGAUGAGCAGCGAACGGGUGAGUAACGCGUGGGGAAUCUGCCUUUGAGCGGGGGACAACAUUUGGAAACGAAUGCUAAUACCGCAUAAAAACUUUAAACACAAGUUUUAAGUUUGAAAGAUGCAAUUGCAUCACUCAAAGAUGAUCCCGCGUUGUAUUAGCUAGUUGGUGAGGUAAAGGCUCACCAAGGCGAUGAUACAUAGCCGACCUGAGAGGGUGAUCGGCCACAUUGGGACUGAGACGCGGCCCAAACUCCUACGGGAGGCAGCAGUAGGGAAUCUUGGGCAAUGGACGAAAGUCUGACCGAGCAACGCCGCGUGAGUGAAGAAGGUUUUCGGAUCGUAAAACUCUGUUGGUAGAGAAGAACGUUGGUGAGAGUGGAAAGCUCAUCAAGUGACGGUAACUAACCAGAAAGGGACGGCUAACUACGU